CGGUAGGGCGGGUGCUACACAUGCAGUCGAACGAGAAAGCGGGGGCAACCCCGUGAGUACAGUGGCGAACGGGUGAGUAACACGUGACUAACCUGCCUUCGAGCGGGGGAUAACCCCGGGAAACCGGGGCUAACACCGCAUAACAUCCCAAGGUGAAACUCCUUGUGAUCAAAUGCGCAAGCAGCUGGAAGAGGGGGUCGCGCCUGAUUAGCUAGUUGGUGAGGUAACGGCUCACCAAGGCGAUGAUCAGUAGCCGGCCUGAGAGGGCGCACGGCCACACUGGAACUGAAACACGGUCCAGACUCCUACGGGAGGCAGCAGUGGGGAAUUUUGCGCAAUGGGGGAAACCCUGACGCAGCAACGCCGCGUGGAGGAUGAAGUCCCUUGGGACGUAAACUCCUUUCGACCGGGACGAAUAAAUGACGGUACCGGUGGAAGAAGCCCCGGCUAACUUCGUGCCAGCAGCCGCGGUAAUACGGAGGGUGCGAGCGUUGUCCGGAAUCACUGGGCGUAAAGGGUGCGUAGGCGGUUCGGUAAGUUGCUGGUGAAAUCCCGGGGCUCAACUCCGGGGCUGCCGGCAAGACUGUCGGACUCGAGCACGGUAGGGGCAGAUGGAAUUCCCGGUGUAGCGGUGGAAUGCGUAGAUAUCGGGAAGAAUACCAGUGGCGAAGGCGUUCUGCUGGCCGUUGCUGACGCUGAGGCACGACAGCGUGGGAGCAAACAGGAUUAGAUACCCUGGUAGUCACGCGUAACGAUGGGCACUAGCGUCGGGGGAGCGAACCCUCCGUGGCGUCGCUAACGCAGUAAGUGUCCCGCCUGGGAUACGGCGCAAGCUGAACCAAGGAUGCGGGGCCGCCAGCGUGAGUGUGGUUAUCACCACGGAAGAACUACUGUGAAGCGAUGGAUUCGGUGUAACUCGGCUCCUUAAAGCUUCGAGGCUCAUGCUCCAGCUGUCUGGAGUGGUUAGUCGAAGGUCCAACGAUGCAUUUAACGGAACUUGACGCGGACUGGAUGCGUAUCGUCUAGGCAUAACGUACUGUCAUGGCUACGGU
rnacentral:rRNA from 1 species